rnacentral:rRNA from 1 species
GGGCGUUAAGUUGCAGGGUAUAGACCCGAAACCCGGUGAUCUAGCCAUGGGCAGGUUGAAGGUUGGGUAACACUAACUGGAGGACCGAACCGACUAAUGUUGAAAAAUUAGCGGAUGACCUGUGGCUGGGGGUGAAAGGCCAAUCAAACCGGGAGAUAGCUGGUUCUCCCCGAAAGCUAUUUAGGUAGCGCCUCGUGAAUUCAUCUCCGGGGGUAGAGCACUGUUUCGGCUAGGGGGCCAUCCCGGCUUACCAACCCGAUGCAAACUGCGAAUACCGGAGAAUGUUAUCACGGGAGACACACGGCGGGUGCUAACGUCCGUCGUGAAGAGGGAAACAACCCAGACCGCCAGCUAAGGUCCCAAAGUCAUGGUUAAGUGGGAAACGAUGUGGGAAGGCCCAGACAGCCAGGAUGUUGGCUUAGAAGCAGCCAUCAUUUAAAGAAAGCGUAAUAGCUCACUGGUCGAGUCGGCCUGCGCGGAAGAUGUAACGGGGCUAAACCAUGCACCGAAGCUGCGGCAGCGACGUUUAUGCGUUGUUGGGUAGGGGAGCGUUCUGUAAGCCUGCGAAGGUGGCCUGUGAGGGUUGCUGGAGGUAUCAGAAGUGCGAAUGCUGACAUAAGUAACGAUAAAGCGGGUGAAAAGCCCGCUCGCCGGAAGACCAAGGGUUCCUGUCCAACGUUAAUCGGGGCAGGGUGAGUCGACCCCUAAGGCGAGGCCGAAAGGCGUAGUCGAUGGGAAACGGGUUAAUAUUCCCGUACUUGGUGUUACUGCGAAGGGGGGACGGAGAAGGCUAUGUUGGCCGGGCGACGGUUGUCCCGGUUUAAGCGUGUAGGCUGGUUUUCCAGGCAAAUCCGGAAAAUCAAGGCUGAGGCGUGACGACGAGGCACUACGGUGCUGAAGCAACAAAUGCCCUGCUUCCAGGAAAAGCCUCUAAGCAUCAGGUAACAUCAAAUCGUACCCCAAACCGACACAGGUGGUCAGGUAGAGAAUACCAAGGCGCUUGA